CCGCGAUCGCUCCGCAGUCCCGCACCCUCCGCACGGUAAAAAAAAGAAAAGAAAAAAAAAACGCCUGCUGCUCACGCCCUCCUCCUCGAGCGCCGUCGCCGCCCUCCUCCCCUGCGAGUCCGCCGGCCAAGAUCUCCUUCCCCUGCGCGCGCCGCCGCCAACCUCGGCCCGCGCCCUCCAAGCCCGCGACCUCCGCCACCUCCCGAGGCGUGCCCGGCGCCGCCGGCCCCCUCCGAGCCCCGAUCCAAUCGUCCACUGAGGGAUCCCCUCCUCGCUCCGUCUGCUCCUCCCGCGCCGCCACCAUCUCGCGGGGCCCUGCCGCCGAGUGCUCCCGACGCUCGAUGAGGGCGUCCCCUCCAGUCGCAGCUGUCGCCGGAGCGGAAGGGGAGACCAGUUCCCAUCGGCCAUCGUGCGUCUCCUCGCCUCCUAGAAAGAGGAAAACCCCGCAUCGCUCGCUGCCGCCGCCGCCGCCUGCUGUCAUCCUCCCCCGGCAUCUGCGUCCCUCGCCGCCGCCUUGCGCCUUGCCUAAGAGCCUCUGCCGACUCCGUUCUGCUCGCCCGCGUCCGCACCGCUGCCGCUGAAACAAGGCGCCUUCCUUCCCUGCCGCCUCCAUGAGGCCACUCCACUGCAGGCUAGCGGCGCGCCUGAGCUCCGUCCUGGCGGUCUCCUCCUACGUGCUCGCCGGGAGCAAGGCCCCGCCCGCCGCCGCCGCGCAUCUGUUGUAUGACCUUGCCAACUCCUAUGAACAGUUUGUGCGCAAAGUUGAGAAAGUUGGAGCCAUUAAUCACGUUAGAGCCGUGGAGGCUCAGAAGGAGACGAGUGGCCGGAGGAGGUGGAGAGAGGCAGAGAGCCAUGGCUGCACCUGGCUCCUUAGUCCCGGCUCACUCGAACCAAAUUGCCCCGUGAUGGCGCCGCCGGAGAUCUGUCCAUGGCAACAGCUAGGGAAAGAUGAUGACGAGCUCCUCGAACCUGAUGUAGAUGCGGGCCUGGAUGCCAACCGGCACGACGAACGCUCGAUAGAACCCCUGCACGCCACUCGGUUUCUUUGAGACAAAUGGUACUCAACUCAAAAUACAAUGGUGGCAGAACAGGUACUCCUUGAGUCCUUGAUAUCUACUAUGAGCAGCCAAAAUUACUGAUCUGAAUGUGUACUUCACUCAAUCAUGUCGCUGGCAGUUAAAUUGAUUCAUUCAGUAGUUCCUUUACAGCAGCCGCUUUUGUGCUACACCAAGUAAUUUCAUAGUGCUAGCACAUAGAAGCUUCUCUAGAUAGCACUGGGGCUGAUUCAGUUAUAUAGGUAAAGAAAAUAAAAGGUUAUAAUGCAUUACAGGAGCAGGGCAAGAGUAGUAAGGUGAAGGCUUAUUCCCUUGCACUAAUCAAUCAUUGGCUAGCUGGAUAUGGAAUCAGCCGGUCAGCGUCUAUGAUACAAUUAAUGCAAGUUCUGUAUGGUUUCUUUUUAUUAGGUUGAUAUUUAUGCAUUCAUAAAUUGUUUCUUCAGAAUUUUAAUCCAGAUCUGAAGUGGCAAGGAUGCAUUAUCUAGAAUGAGUCUAAUCAUGAAUAGACAAGUCAAUGAAAUCCAUCUUGGUGAUUAAGUUUAUGAAUCAAAAAUUAUCUACUAACUGCAGAAAGGAAGAAAACAAGUCACAGUUAUUCUCUCAGUUGUGUUCAUAUCCAGUGUGGGUUUGCUCUGCAUUUUCAUACUUGGAGCAAAUAGGACAAGCUAUAAAUCCUUUUGCUAGACUAUUACAUCUUAUCUACUGCCUGAAUUGAAGCUAUAAAUAACUUUGCUACCUGUUAGCAGCAGCAUGGUUGUCUUUAUCUACACUGCCGGUAAAAUUGUAUGAUUAUUGCGAUCCUCAACGAAAAGUGGAAAUGAACAAAUAAUUUCUGUUACUUGCGACCGUACCAAGGACAAAAAAGUUUGUUCAUUUGCUUGAUAUUGUACUUUUUAUUGCAUAUAUAGUUUUGCAUGAAGCAGGUAAAUGAAAUUUUCAGUGUUAUGGGGAUGCAUGAAACCAUGCGCCAACUUUGUUCUCAGGUAAUAGGGGAGGGAAUAAAGCUGCCGCUGCUCACACAGCACACCAAUUUGUUGAAUGUGCAAGCGAAGAUACUAUUGUCAUACUACAUGUCUACAUACAUAGUACAUAGGUAUAGUAUAUGGAUGAAUGUACUCUCUGCUGCUCCCCCGAUGGCUGGCUCAACCUCAAUGUAUGCAAAUUAAUCUGCUUAUUUUACUCAAUCAAUUAAAGGAUUCUGUCUUGAUGUACUGAUGCACACGCACACAAUAAAAAGUAACAUUAUAUAUGCCAAACUUGUCAUAGGUGCUAGAGUAGUUGUCAAUACAAACUAAAGCCAAUUAUCGACUUGGUCAAUUUGAAGUUCAUUAAGUAAUUAGUACUACUGUUGAACUGUCAGAGUAUAGUAGCUCAGAAAUGUUGAUGAAUCCCCAACCUCGAUGUUUAAUAUUAUUGUUGCCUGAGAUGGUUCUGUUCUCACAUCUUGCAUUGCAGUUCUCCACUUCUGGAGACAUUUGAACUGCAAACAUUUUCUGUAGGCAGAACAAGACGGUUGAUAUCUCUGUUACGGCCACUAAUUGGUACCAUGAAGCUUUACACAUCCUUCAAGAAGGGUGGCAAGUGGCAACGCGCUCAAGACGGCGCAAGGUGGCUUCGAUGUCAGCGAGAUCAUCGACAUCAUCGUCUCCCGUGGGUACACGUAGGUGAGAGCAACUUAAACGCAGAGACGCUAAUGCUUACUUGCAAAUCAGCCAGGAUAGUAUCCAUCUCUUCGAUGUUGUUGGAUCAUAUGCUUCUACCCUCCAAAGGAUCAGAAGCUUGCUUUUUUGAGAUUGCAGCAAUAGUGUUGUCUAUGCAGAACACAGCCAAAACUGGAAAACAAGAAAUUCUCAGGUGAAUGCUUGUUGGCACAUGUCAAUUGAAGUAUUUCCCUGCUACCAUCAAAGCUAUAGCUGGAUGAUCCUCGGCAUUACUGGUUCAACUCAGAGCUUUUUUUCAGCCCGGUUUGCAUUGCCUUGUAUGGUGUAGGGGAUCUUUUGUUGUUUUAGAUUACUCUUUUCUUUUUUAGUUUGUACUCAUAUACACAACAUGGUUUCUCAAUUUCUUUAAUACAAAUAGGAAGCGCUCUGCAUGUAACCACAUUCAUUUCCCAAAAGGAAUUUCUCAUGUUGCAAAUUAUGAAAUGGAUAUUUGUAAGCCAUGGGCGGCUGUCUUGAUCUGACGUGUUUAAUUUA